CUCUACUACUAAUAAAAGAGCAAACAUUAUCUUCUCUUCACGCACCCCAUUAAACGUACACAGACCUAUUACCACCCUACGAUUAGGCCCACUAAAAUCAAUCUAAUGGUCAACCUUAACCUCAUGUGUUGAUUGGGGUGCACUUAAUAAUUUACACACGGACGGACUGUUCCACCGCAGAGGAAAUCACCUCCACAUCCCUCCCAAUCAUCAAUCACACGCAGGGAAACAAAUAACUUCCCAUCGCUACACCAUACCAUACUGGAAGGGAACACCUGAAAUCACGCAUCAUCAGGAAGGAAACAAUUAUCCCAUCUCUGCAUCAUAGCACCGUCGCCCCGACCUCGCCGCCCGACAGAUCCCCUCGCCCUGGGGCAACAUCGUCUGCUUCCGGAACGACGCCCUCGCCGCCCUGCACCGUACCGUACCGUGGGCAGCCGUUCCUCCGUCGUCACCUCCUCGCUACCGGCAAGUCCCUGAAGGCCUAAGGUGAGCAGAAUUUAUGAUACAGUCAAUCUACUAACCGCACCAUCUUGCUUGACAUCAAUAAAAACCAAAAAUCUUGAGCAUGUAUCCUGCAUAAACAUAACAAGCAUGUUUAUUCAUAAUAAUAUUGUGUGUACGUGAAUGCUAUUUGCCACUAAUAUGCUUUAAUUCAACCCUCUUGGCAGAUUGUACUAAUACGCGGCGGUAUGUCAUCUCCCAAUCGCGCGGGGGCACACACCCCCUUUCAGGAUAUAACCAACUCCCACUCCGUGGGUAAUUAACUGCCUACUAAAUGCUAUGGUUUUUCUUGAAUGAUGAACACCGUUAUUGCUUAUGCGCUAACUUUCUGUUUGUAUUUAUAGACCCUAAGGAAUUGAAGAGGCAGCGGGACAGAGAAUACUAUGCACGAAAUAAAGAUGCCAUUCUCAAACGGCGUCGUGAUGCACGCCAAAAUAACGGGACUCCAAAAGCGCUGCCUAAUGACCAGCAAAGUGUGCCACAUACACCCCUGGCCAUGACCCAAAGUAAAAAUAACCUUGUACUGUUGGCUUAUGUUCUGUUGUUCAGGUAACAUUUUGAGACUCUGAAUUAUAACUAUAAUGUAUCAUAGAUGUAGAUCAUAUGGAGCAAAAGAGGCAACUGGAAAGGGAACGGUAUUCACAAAAUAGGGAUGACAUAAUAAAAAGACAACGUCAAGCCUACGGUCAGAAAAAAUUGUCUCAGGCUUCUACAGGGACCGGUGCCCAGAAAGAUGAAACACAAACACCGAUGUCCACAUCCAUUGGUAAUGACAAUCAACGCAUUACAUAUGCCCCUAACUGUUGAAGCUAAUUAGCUUUUUGCAUCUAUGUAGACCCUAAAGAGUUAAGGAGGCAAAGGGACAGGGAGCGGUAUGCACAAAACAGGGAUGAAAUAUUAAGAAGAAAACGCCAAUCCCGUGAACAGUCAAAGACAUCUAUUGCCACCGUUAACAGUGUUGACAAUGUGUCACGCACACCAGCUACAGGACAAUCGGGUGUCAGCCAGCUACAAACAAUAUCAUUUGCAGGUUUUGUGCUACCAUCAAAUAGUCAUUUCCUUUUAUUAUCUCGCAUAUUAUUAAGAGAUACUCCCUCCGUCUCAACAUAAGUGUCUCAACUUAAAUACAACUUUGCACUAAAGUUAGUAUAAAGUUGAGACACUUAUUUCAGGACGGAUGGAGUAUAUUAAUAUAUGCACUGAUGUGGUGACACCAAAUUUCUUGCAGGCUUAUCAAACAUGCCAACUUCAUCCCAAUCACAUGAAGGGAUCCCUCCUCACAAGGACAAUAUUUUAGGAAACAUUGAUGAAUCCAAUUGGUUGCAUAGGAAUGAUGCAUAUCAGAUGGUAGAAAUUGCAGGGAGACUGAGAGCUGUUGUUGUACCUCUUGGUCAUGAAACGCAAACAAUUUCCAAUGUCACUGCAGAUAUUGCACCAGGUAUAUCAUUAGGCAUUUGUACAGUGUAAGGAACAAUAUUGCUAUAAUCACGCAUCAAUAUUACUUAUAGUGUAAAUGUGUUUACCGUAAUCUGGGUUCUCUUUCAUUUUUAAUGUAUAGUGCCUCUUAAUGCCUCCAAUCAACCUCAAAAGUCCAUGGCUAAUGAUAGGCGAGGAGUAGAACCAACAACAGAGACUGCUCAAAACACUCAAAAUAUGCAAGGUAGUUUUGCCGACCCUACGUCUACUAGAACACCUAUAUUGUUAUGUCGUACUGAUCUUAUGAUUUUCCAUAGUGGGCAACGACCAGACAGCUGAUCCAUAUGGAAUAUUUGAGCCUCCUGUUCAACAAACCAAUUUUCAAGGUACAUUAUAUAUACCGUCGUUCCCAUUUGAAUGUCUUCAUCCAUAAAUUUGAGGAAUUUAUAUUUGACCAACAUAUUGCGUACUAGAUUACAUGGAGCCACUGCAGAAUGGAGAAGCCGCAUACCAUGAUCCUGAUGAAGAAGCUAUACUAUUUAUAGGUCAGGGUAUGUCCAUUAUGUAUUUUCCAACUUAGCACCCUCAAGUGCACACUUUAGUUGUAUUGAGUGAUAAUUUAAUACCUACUGUCCUUCUGUGCUAGAUGUUGCUUUCGAGUCGUACCAGCUUGGACGCCAGAAUGCACAAGUAGGACCUGUAGCAGUGAUUGAUGAAUUCAUAUACCGAAACCUACCUACAAAGCACCAUGUCCUAAAAAAGGUUGCAGACUGCCUUCACUGUGGGGCUUUGCGGUUUCCAUUCGAGGGGCCAGCAUUUUGUUGCAGAAAAGGAAAAGUCAAUAUAUUUACUCCAGAGGUUCCAGAAGAGUUGAAACGGUUGUUUACAUGUCAAGCUGAUGAGGAUGCUAAAUAUUUCAGAGAGCAUAUACGAUAUUUCAACUCGCACUUCUCAUUCACAAGUUUAGGAGUCACCCUUGAUCGCCGAGUCAGCAAUGCGGCAGGAACUGGAGUAUAUACUUUUCGUGCGUGUGGCGGGUUGUACCACGCUCUUGAUGAUCUGGUGCCGGCUGAUAAUGGCCCUCGACAUUUCCAACUCUAUAUUUAUGAUACAGAUGAAAACUUGGUUCACAGGGCUAAGAGAUCUCCAGACCUUAAGAUAGAUCUCAUACGGAAGAUUCUGCGAAUACUAGAGCCUAACCCUUAUGCGCAAGUUUUCAAGAGCCUUGGGUCUGUUCCAAAUCUAGAUGAGUAUAGGAUCUCACUAAACGGAUAUCAAGCUGGAUCAACGAAGGUACAAUGCCCCAACGGCUUCUCAGGUGGCAGCGAUAUGGGUUGAAGGGAGUGACCCACAAAAUUGCUUUGACAGGAGUGUUGUCGUGCAUGGAAAAAAAAGGAGAACGGCCCCUCUAUAUUAGAGCAUACUAUGGGUGCUAUGACCCGUUGUCUUAUCCCCUAUUCUUCCCACGUGGGGAGAUUGGUUGGAAUCGUUGGAUGCCAUAUGUUGGUCUCCCCGAUAACAGGACCCAUCAUUCAUCAGAUAAUACUACACCACAAGGAAACCAAGACAUUGAUAUACAUACAGGUAUGUGUUCAUUAACAAGGGUUAGGCUUGCUAUUAUUAAUGUAAACUUAUGUUUUCAUCUAUCUAUCAGAGGAAAACUUGAUUGCGAACAAGUUGGGAAUUUUGUAGCACAUGAAGACCAUGCCACUGAUUUACCUACAGGUAUCGGUCAUCAUUUCUUAUUCUUCAAUUCUUAUUGUGUCAAUCAUUAUGAGUCCAGCCAGC
rnacentral:lncRNA from 1 species